rnacentral:rRNA from 1 species
CAGUCGCCACGGUAAUACGUAGGGUGCAAGCGUUAAUCGGAAUUAUUGGGCGUAAAGGGAAGGUAGGUGGUUACGUAUGUCUGAGGUGAAAGCCCCAAGCUUAACUUGGGAAGUGCCUUGGAAACGGCGUAACUAGAGUAUUGGAGAGGUUUGUAGAAUUCCCGGUGUAGCGGUGAAAUGCGUAGAGAUCGGGAGGAAUACCAGAGGCGAAGGCGACAAACUGGACAAUUACUGACACUAAACUUCGAAAGCGUGGGGAGCAAACAGGAUUAGAUACCCGCUAGUCCCUGUCUCUUAUACA